UCAGGAUGAACGCUAGCUACAGGCUUAACACAUGCAAGUCGAGGGGCAGCAUUGAGAUAGCUUGCUAUUCAGAUGGCGACCGGCGCACGGGUGAGUAACGCGUAUCCAACCUUCCCCUUAGUAGGGCAUAGCCCGGCGAAAGUCGGAUUAAUACCCUAUGUUUUCCAAUGAGGACAUCUGAGCUGGAACAAAGAUUCAUCGCUAAGGGAUGGGGAUGCGUCUGAUUAGGUAGUAGGCGGGGUAACGGCCCACCUAGCCGACGAUCAGUAGGGGUUCUGAGAGGAAGGUCCCCCACACUGGUACUGAGACACGGACCAGACUCCUACGGGAGGCAGCAGUGAGGAAUAUUGGUCAAUGGGCGUGAGCCUGAACCAGCCAAGUAGCGUGCAGGAUGACGGCCCUAUGGGUUGUAAACUGCUUUUAUGCGGGGAUAAAGUGAGGGACGUGUCCCUUUUUGUAGGUACCGCAUGAAUAAGGACCGGCUAAUUCCGUGCCAGCCGCUGC
rnacentral:rRNA from 1 species